UGUGGAGACCCAGCUCUACCUUGUGCUCCAGGCUGGAGUCUUUAAACAUCAGUGAGAAUGGCUUGAUAUGCUCUCUUCUCAAUUUAUCGCCACUCCGCAAGUCGAUGGUAAAAAAUGCAAGCAACUUGCAGCCUCCCACCAUUUCACAGGGUUACACAGCACGAGACGGGGAAAGGCAUAACCACCACGGCUGGUCACUGGAUAUGGAUACAUGGAUGCAGAAACUGCAUUGGCUUACGAAGACACACCAGCCUCUCAGCUUGGCUAUGUUUAGAACACAGGCUAGAUGAAGAUAAGAUUAUGGAGUCA